rnacentral:rRNA from 1 species
UAACGAAUCUUCCGCAAUGCACGAAAGUGUGACGGAGCGACGCCGCGUGUGGGACGAAGUUCUUCGGAAUGUAAACCACUGUCAGGGGUUAGAAAGUUCUGAUCAACCCCAGAGGAAGGCACGGCUAACUCUGUGCCAGCAGCCGCGGUAAUACAGAGGUGCCAAGCGUUAGGCGGAAUCACUGGGCUUAAAGCGUGUGUAGGCGGACUUCUAAGUGCCUUGUGAAAUCCCACGGCUCAACCGUGGAACUGCUUGGUAUACUGGAAGUCUUGAGCAACCUAGGGGCCAGCGGAACAAAUGGUGGAGCGGUGAAAUGCGUAGAUAUCAUUUGGAACGCCAAUGGUGAAAACAGCUGGCUGGGGGUUUGCUGACGCUGAGACACGAAAGCUAGGGGAGCAAACGGGAUUAGAUACCCCCGUAGUCC